CCUACGGGUGGCAGCAGUAGGGAAUCUUCCACAAUGGACGAAAGUCUGAUGGAGCAACGCCGCGUGAGUGAAGAAGGGUUUCGGCUCGUAAAGCUCUGUUGGUAGUGAAGAAAGAUAGAGGUAGUAACUGGCCUUUAUUUGACGGUAAUUACUUAGAAAGUCACGGCUAACUACGUGCCAGCAGCCGCGGUAAUACGUAGGUGGCAAGCGUUGUCCGGAUUUAUUGGGCGUAAAGCGAGUGCAGGCGGUUCAAUAAGUCUGAUGGGAAAGCCUUCGGCUCAACCGGGGAAUUGCAUCAGAAACUGUUGAACUUGAGUGCAGAAGAGGAGAGUGGAACUCCAUGUGUAGCGGUGGAAUGCGUAGAGAUUAGGAGGAACACCAGUGGCGAAGGCGGCUUACUGGACUGUAACUGACGUUGAGGCUCGAAAGCGUGGGGAGCAAACAGGAUUAGAUACCCGAGUAGUC
rnacentral:rRNA from 1 species